rnacentral:rRNA from 1 species
AUGGCAUCCUCCUCUUCCUUUCUCCUCCUUGCUGCACUUCUUGCGUUAGUCUCAUGGCAGGCCACUGCUUCUGAUCCUAGCCCACUCCAGGACUUUUGUGUCGCCGACAUGAAUUCACCAGGUACUAUCCUCCGUGUCAAUGGGUUUGUUUGCAAGAACCCGAUGGAGGUCAAUGCAGAUGACUUCUUCAAGGCGGCCAACCUCGACAAGCCUAGGGUGCCCAACAAGGUUGGAUCCAACGUCACUUUGAUCAACGUCAUGCAGAUUGCUGGACUGAACACCCUCGGCAUAUCAAUUGCGCGCAUCGACUAUGCUCCCUUGGGCCAAAACCCACCACAUACGCACCCUCGCGCCACUGAGAUCCUCACGGUGCUCGAGGGAACACUGUACGUUGGCUUUGUGACAUCCAACCAGCCCGCCCCCAACAAAAACAAGUUCUUCUCCAAGGUGCUCAACAAAGGUGAUGUGUUUGUCUUCCCCGUGGGGCUCAUCCACUUCCAAUUCAACCCCAACCCCCACCUGCCUGCUGUUGCAAUUGCCGCGCUAAGCAGCCAGAACCCAGGGGCUAUCACAAUUGCCAAUGCAGUGUUUGGGUCAGACCCACCAAUAUCAGAUGAUGUUCUUGCCAAGGCAUUUCAGGUGGAAAAGAACACAAUAGACUAUCUCCAGGCUCAGUUCUGGGAGAACAACCACUACUAA